UGCCUGGCGGCGAUAGCGCGGUGGUCCCACCUGACCCCAUGCCGAACUCAGAAGUGAAACGCCGUAGCGCCGAUGGUAGUGUGGGGUCUCCCCAUGCGAGAGUAGGGAACUGCCAGACUU
rnacentral:rRNA from 1 species